rnacentral:snRNA from 1 species
AGACUGGAACAGCAUGUAUACUAGAAUUAGAACGAUACAGACAUUAGCAGUGCCCCAGUACAAGGAUGACAUGCAAGUUCAUGAAGGAUUCUGUGCCUAA